rnacentral:rRNA from 1 species
AACGAACGCUGGCGGCAGGCUUAACACAUGCAAGUCGAGCGCCCCGCAAGGGGAGCGGCAGACGGGUGAGUAACACGUGGGAAUCUACCCAUCCCUACGGAACAACUCCGGGAAACUGGAGCUAAUACCGUAUACGCCCUUUGGGGGAAAGAUUUAUCGGGAUGGAUGAGCCCGCGUCGGAUUAGCUAGUUGGUGGGGUAAAGGCCUACCAAGGCGACGAUCCGUAGCUGGUCUGAGAGGAUGAUCAGCCACACUGGGACUGAGACACGGCCCAGACUCCUACGGGAGGCAGCAGUGGGGAAUAUUGGACAAUGGGCGCAAGCCUGAUCCAGCCAUGCCGCGUGAGUGAUGAAGGCCUUAGGGUUGUAAAGCUCUUUCGCCAGGGACGAUAAUGACGGUACCUGGAUAAGAAGCCCCGGCUAACUUCGUGCCAGCAGCCGCCGUAAUAC